UUACAGGAUCUUUUUCUCACAUCUCGGGCCAAAUGGGAAUUAAACCAUGGUCCUCGAAUUGGACACUAUGGAUAUGCUGACCUCUCAGGAGAUGACAUUGGAGUCACAUAGGAUUUGCCUUUUCAUUAUCUUUUACGUAGGCAAUCAGAGGUGGCAGGUGCAUCAGUGGUGGAGGCUGCUGGAGACUGUAAGGAGACAGUACUUUUGACUUGUCAUUGAUUAAAAUGAAGCUGAGCAACACAGCAAUCGACGGAAUGGCAAUCACACAGAAAGAAAAUCCAACUUAACUUGUGCUUCCAUUUAUAAACUGAUUGUAAAGUUGUAAAUAUCUGUAAAUUUAUUUUUUAUUAAAAUAGUUGCGUUUUGAAAGAUUUACUCGAAUGACACCUGUCACUGUAUUCUAGCUCUUCUAUGUUUAAAUUUAUAAAAUAUUUUUAGAUGUUAUAAUGAACUUUAAAAUAUGUUGAUGGAAUAGAACUUGGUUUAAAUGAUAUUUUGCCUUUUUUGAAACAAAACAAAAAAUCAUGUUUAGUAUUUUAAUUAUGUACCAGUAAUCUUUAAUAAUUAAAACCAAACCAAAAUUAUAUUGUGUCUUUAAUAUGCUGUUGAAAACAAUAUAGUGAAUGUGCUAAUUUAACAUUAAGUGACCAUCAAUUUACUUAAGUUCAUAGGCAUUGUUUAGCUAAUCAUCAUGACAAUACAAAAUCUUGCACAUUUUCUCCUAUAAACAAUUUUAUAAUCUAAUCACAAAGCUGGAGAUGCUGGAAAUGUGAUAUAAAAACAAGAAAUGCAAAAUAUAUUCAAUAGGCAAGGAAUCUGUAUAGAAGGAAAUAGUUAACAUUUCAAGUCAAUAAUCUUUCAUCAUAAUCUGAGAAUGUUAUAUAUGCAGGAGAUUUUUUUCCCUUCUUCGAAUUCCAGAGUGCAAUUGUAAAACCUAUGUCAUGAUGCAGGGUGUUAAUUCAGAUUCUAGAGUGGGAAGAUAUAUAUACUAUUCAUUGUAUAUUUGUUAGAUCACAUCAAGAUUAGAUUAUAAAUUAUAUUGGUUAUUUGAAGUCCAACCAUAGUUUCUCACUUCUCGUUCACUUCAUGAUGUUUUUCUCAUUUCUAUUUUGUCAGUAUCUUGAGAUUCUCUGAUGUACUAAAGAUUCUCUGAUGUAUGGGAUAGUGUAAUGAUGUUGCUUUCCAGAG